AAGGCCCUUCUCUUCGCGAAUCCUCAGGCUCUGCCUGGGGAACGGCUUCACAGCCAUAGCGGGAGCGGGGUCUU
rnacentral:ncRNA from 1 species